UAGGGUUCGAUUCUGGCUCAGGAUGAACGCUGGCGGCGUGCUUAACACAUGCAAGUCGAACGGGGUUAAUGAGGACAAAAGUAUUCGUACCGAUGUAAUUAUUAACUUAGUGGCGGACGGGUGAGUAACACGUGAGUAAUCUACCUCAAGCAGGGGAAUAACAGCGGGAAACCGUUGCUAAUACCACAUAGAGUGUCGAAUAGGCAUCUAUACGACAUAAAAGGAGAGAUCCGGCCUGAGAUGAGCUCGCGUCCGAUUAGGUAGUUGGUGAGAUAAGAGCCCACCAAGCCUGCGAUCGGUAGCCGGACUGAGAGGUUGCUCGGCCACAUUGGGACUGAGACACGGCCCAGACUCCUACGGGAGGCAGCAGUGGGGAAUCUUGGGCAAUGGGGGGAACCCUGACCCAGCGACGCCGCGUGAAGGAUGAAGGCCUUCGGGUUGUAAACUUUUUUGGAUGGGGACGAAGCAGUGACGGUACCCAUCGAACAAGCCACGGCUAACUACGUGCCAGCAGCCGCGGUAAUACGUAGGUGGCAAGCGUUAUCCGGAAUUACUGGGUGUAAAGGGCGUGUAGGCGGAUAGAUAAGUCGGAUGUGAAAUCCUGCGGCUCAACUGCAGAUUGUCAUAUGAAACUGUUUAUCUUGAGUGUCAGAGGGGAAAGUGGAAUUCCUAGUGGAGCGGUAAAAUGCGUAGAUAUUAGGAGGAACACCGGUGGCGAAGGCGACUUUCUGGCUGACAACUGACGC
rnacentral:rRNA from 1 species